rnacentral:rRNA from 1 species
ACAGGUGCUGCAUGGCUGUCGUCAGCUCGUGUCGUGAGAUGUUGGGUUAAGUCCCGCAACGAGCGCAACCCUCGUCGUUAGUUGCUAACAGUUCGGCUGAGCACUCUAGCGAGACUGCCUUCGCAAGGAGGAGGAAGGUGAGGACGACGUCAAGUCAUCAUGGCCCUUAUGGCUUGGGCUACACACGUGCUACAAUGGGGCGUACAGAGAGUUGCGAUACCGCGAGGUGGAGCUAAUCUCAUAAAGCGUCUCUCAGUUCGGAUUGGACUCUGCAACUCGAGUCCAUGAAGCUGGAAUCACUAGUAA